AGAUUGAACGCUGGCGGAAUGCUUUACACAUGCAAGUCGAACGGCAGCACGGGGGCAACCCUGGUGGCGAGUGGCGAACGGGUGAGUAAUGUAUCGGAACGUGCCCAGUCGUGGGGGAUAACUAUCCGAAAGGAUAGCUAAUACCGCAUACGACCUGAGGGUGAAAGCGGGGGACCUUCGGGCCUCGCGCCAUUAGAUGAGCCUAGGUCGGAUUAGCUAGUUGGUGAGGUAAUGGCUCACCAAGGCGACGAUCCGUAACUGGUCUGAGAGGAUGAUCAGUCACACUGGAACUGAGACACGGUCCAGACUCCUACGGGAGGCAGCAGUGGGGAACAUUGGACAAUGGGCGAAAGCCUGAUCCAGCAAUGCCGCGUGAGUGAUGAAGGCCUUAGGUUGUAAAGCUCUUUUACCCGAGAUGAUAAUGAACAGUAUCGGAAGAAGUAAGCCCCGGCUAACCUCCGUGCCAGCAGCCGC
rnacentral:rRNA from 1 species